rnacentral:rRNA from 1 species
UACGGGGGGGCAAGCGUUGUUCGGAAUUACUGGGCGUAAAGGGCUCGUAGGUGGCCAACUAAGUCAGACGUGAAAUCCCCCAGGCUCAACUUGGGAACUGCGUCUGAUACUGGAUGGCUUGAAUUCGGGAGAGGGAUGCAGAAUUCCAGGUGUAGCGGUGAAAUGCUGUGAUAUCUGUGAGGAAUACCGGUGGCGAAGGCGGCAUCCUGGACCGAUAUUGACACUGAGGAGCGAAAGCCAGGGGAGCAAACGG